CACGGGAGCAAUCCUGGUGGCGAGUGGCGAACGGGUGAGUAAUACAUCGGAACGUGCCCAGUAGUGGGGGAUAACCCGGCGAAAGCCGGACUAAUACCGCAUACGACCUACGGGUGAAAGCAGGGGAUCGCAAGACCUUGCGCUAUCGGAGCGGCCGAUGUCAGAUUAGCUUGUUGGCGGGGUAAAAGCCCACCAAGGCGACGAUCUGUAGCUGGUCUGAGAGGACGACCAGCCACACUGGGACUGAGACACGGCCCAGACUCCUACGGGAGGCAGCAGUGGGGAAUUUUGGACAAUGGGCGCAAGCCUGAUCCAGCCAUGCCGCGUGCGGGAAGAAGGCCUUCGGG
rnacentral:rRNA from 1 species